AGUGAACGCUGGCGGUAGGCCUAACACAUGCAAGUCGAACGGCAGCACAGUAAGAGCUUGCUCUUACGGGUGGCGAGUGGCGGACGGGUGAGGAAUACAUCGGAAUCUACUUUUUCGUGGGGGAUAACGUAGGGAAACUUACGCUAAUACCGCAUACGACCUACGGGUGAAAGCAGGGGAUCUUCGGACCUUGCGCGAUUGAAUGAGCCGAUGUCGGAUUAGCUAGUUGGCGGGGUAAAGGCCCACCAAGGCGACGAUCCGUAGCUGGUCUGAGAGGAUGGUGAGCCAGAAUGGGACAGAGACACGGACCGGACGCCCACGGGAGGCAGCCGUGGGGAAGAGUGGACAAUGGCCGCAGGCCUGAUCCAGCCUUACCGCGGGAGGGAAGAAGGCCUUCGUGUUACACAGCCCUUCUGAUGGGAAAGAAAAGCAGCAGGUUGAUACCCCGCUGGUCGGCCGGCACCCAAAGAAUAAGCACCGGCUAGCUUCGUG
rnacentral:rRNA from 1 species